AACGAACGCUGGCGGCAGGCCUAACACAUGCAAGUCGAACGGGCCCUUUCGGGGGUCAGUGGCGGACGGGUGAGUAACGCGUGGGAACGUGCCCAUCGGAUCGGAAUAACCCAGGGAAACUUGGGCUAAGACCGGAUACGCCCUUUUGGGGAAAGAUUUAUCGCCGAUGGAUCGGCCCGCGUCUGAUUAGCUUGUUGGUGGGGUAACGGCUCACCAAGGCGACGAUCAGUAGCUGGUCUGAGAGGAUGAUCAGCCACACUGGGAUUGAGACACGGCCCAGACUCCUACGGGAGGCAGCAGUGGGGAAUAUUGGACAAUGGGCGCAAGCCUGAUCCAGCCAUGCCGCGUGAGUGAUGAAGGCCCUAGGGUUGUAAAGCUCUUUCGCACGCGACGAUAAUGACGGUAGCGUGAGAAGAAGCCCCGGCUAACUUCGUGCCAGCAGCCGCCGUAACAC
rnacentral:rRNA from 1 species